AAGCUACAAAGUCAAGCAGAAGAAAAUAAAAGAAGAAACAAACAAAAGGCACAAAAAUCAAAUGAACAAGAGGAAAAUCCAUUUGAGACAGAACCACCACAGCCAAAGCAAAAAGGAGGCAAACAAGAGGAAUCCACUGCAAAUGAAGACAAGAAGAAAGGACAGGGUGGCAAUGAAAUGAAGACGACAGGCCAGCCACAAGAAACCAGCUCCUCUCAGGCACUCCAGCAUCCAGGCCCUGCCCCAAAUGGCCACUAUCCCCCACAGAGCAGAGGAGGAAACCUUCCUCCCCCGUCCAUAGCUGUGACGAGGCCACCGGGGCCCAGGGGGUAUGGAGUGCCGGGCUAUCCACCUGGAAACCCACGCUUCC